rnacentral:rRNA from 1 species
AUUGAACGCUGGCGGCAGGCCUAACACAUGCAAGUCGAGCGGAGCGGCGGACGGGUGAGUAAUGCCUAGGAAUCUGCCUGGUAGUGGGGGAUAACGUCCGGAAACGGGCGCUAAUACCGCAUACUAUCAGAUCAGCCUGGGUUGGAUUAGCUAGUGGGGGGGGUAAAGGCCUACCAAGGCGACGAUCCGUAACUGGUCCGAGAGGAUGAUCAGUCACACUGGAACUGAGACACGGUCCAGACUCCUACGGGAGGCAGCAGUGGGGAAUAUUGGACAAUGGGCGAAAGCCUGAUCCAGCCAUGCCGCGUGUGUGAAGAAGGUCUUCGGAUUGUAAAGCACUUUAAGUUGGGAGGCGUUACCCACAGAAUAAGCACCGGCUAACUCCGUGCCAGCAGCCGCGGUAAUUC